CCCUUAGAUGUCCUGGGCCGCACGCGUGCUACACUGACACUUACACCGAGUUUUUCCGGCCCCGAGAGGUGGCUGGUAAUCAGUAAUAGGUGUCGUGAUGGGGAUAGAUCUUUGGAAUUAUUGAUCUUGAACGAGGAAUGCCUAGUAAUCGUAGGUCAUCAGCCUGCGAUGAUUACGCCCCUGCCCUUUGUACACACCGCCCGUCGCUCCUACCGAUUUCGAGUGGUCCGGUGAACCUUUCGGACAGAGAGAGUCUCGUACAAUCUCUGAAAGUCAAGUAAACCACAUCACUUAGAGGAAGGAGAAGUCGUAACA
rnacentral:rRNA from 1 species